CUGACCUCCAACAAACACAACCAUCUUCCUAUGUGUCAGAUUUCCACUAUUUGCUCCCUCUCUUUGUCACUGGCCUAUACCGUACAGGAUUGGAGAAUAGAGGCAUGCACUCCUCCCAGAACCUGCAGAUCAGAUCACUGCAUCUGCACAGGGUGGACUUUCUAAACUAAAGUGCAGUCUAACCUCGGACAUAACUGUUUCUUUGUCUUUCAAUGGAUGGUAAAGAUCCUGUGGGAAUACCUGACAUUUGAGGGAGCAUUUUUCCAGGAUGCUGACUGAACAUUUCACUUGCCCUCCCUUCCCAGGACUGUCCUGGAAUCUCCUGCAAUUAAACAUUCGGUCCACUGCCUGUGCAAAAUAAAAUAUC